UACGAAGGGGGCUAGCGUUGCUCGGAAUCACUGGGCGUAAAGGGUGCGUAGGCGGGUCUUUUAAGUCAGGGGUGAAAUCCUGGAGCUCAACUCCAGAACUGCCUUUGGUACUGAAGAUCUUGAGUUCGGGAGAGGUGAGUGGAACUGCGAGUGUAGAGGUGAAAUUCGUAGAUAUUCGCAAGAACACCAGUGGCGAAGGCGGCUCACUGGCCCGGUACUGACGCUGAUGUGCGAAAGCGUGGGGAGCAAACAGG
rnacentral:rRNA from 1 species